UCCCGCAAGAUUUAGACAUAUAACCUCCAAAAUAGAGAGAGCGCAGGUGCUACGCAAUGGCCUAAUGUGCCAAGAUCAUCACAUCAAAACACAUAUCUAUCUUAAAAUUGAUUUGGUCGACUUCAAAAUUAUUGGCUAGCCAUCCUCCAAUUCCUAUGGAUAUAGUUUAUAGAAAGCAAAAGGAAUAACAGCGCUUUGUUGAUACCGUCCAGAGGGCCAGGAAGAACCAAACCACAUAUCAUCCAAAUAUAUGGUCCUUCUCAAGCAUUUGUAAGC
rnacentral:lncRNA from 1 species